UACAGAGGUCUCAAGCGUUGUUCGGAUUCAUUGGGCGUAAAGGGUGCGUAGGCGGCGCGGUAAGUCGGGUGUGAAAUCUCGGAGCUUAACUCCGAAAUUGCACUUGAUACUGCCGUGCUUGAGGACUGGAGAGGAGACUGGAAUUUACGGUGUAGCGGUGAAAUGCGUAGAUAUCGUAAGGAAGACCAGUGGCGAAGGCGGGUCUCUGGACAGUUCCUGACGCUGAGACACGAAGGCCAGGGGAGCAAACGGG
rnacentral:rRNA from 1 species